UACGAAGGGGGCUAGCGUUGCUCGGAAUUACUGGGCGUAAAGGGCUCGUAGGCGGCCAACUAAGUCAGACGUGAAACCCCUCGGCUUAACCGGGGAACUGCGUCUGAUACUGGAUGGCUAGAGGUUGGGAGAGGGAUGCGGAAUUCCAGGUGUAGCGGUGAAAUGCGUAGAUAUCUGGAGGAACACCGGUGGCGAAGGCGGCAUCCUGGAUCAAUUCUGACGCUGAGGAGCGAAAGCCAGGGGAGCAAACGGG
rnacentral:rRNA from 1 species